CCGCGGGUCCCUUGGGCCCCGUCAGCCCCCGUGAGCGGGUGGCCCCCGAGCACCCUGUGGGUGAGCCCUGGGGGGCGGAAAGUGGAGAUGGUGCUUGGGGAAUAAUGGAGGCCUGACCCCGGAAGAACGGGAAUGACCAACAUUCUUAAAUCUCUAGCCAAUAACGUCGUCGAAUGUUCUGAGCAAAGACGGAACCAGUGCUGCUGGCUCUUCGCAUCCUACUCCAGGAGAGGACCAGAAGAGGAAAGAUGAGGAAACUGAGCCCCCAAGGAUAUGAUAUGCCGUCAAGACAACUGUGGGGCAAUUUCUAAAUCCAUCUCCAGGUUCCAAAUGCAGCGACGCCUUCACAUUGCAGGAAACUGAAUCAACCUGAGAACUCAGCUAUCGCGCAAUGGAGAGAGGUUCAGGAGAGGACAUCAGUGUCCCAGGCCCCUUGCUGUUAUGCCAGGCUGUAUCUUACCUAACGGCAGCUGGCCAGGGAAGCUGAAAAGACCAUGCAGGACUUCUAACAGCACACUAAGCUAUACGAGCGAGUCAGAAGGAGAGGAACAGAACAAACACAGCAACUUCUGAGAAGGAAAAAGAGACAGCCAAGGUAUAGCUCUGAAAGAGACUUAAGAGCCUAUCCUCAUUCAAACAAGUUAUAAAAAUAAAGAUUUUAAACCAUCAGG